rnacentral:rRNA from 1 species
GAGUUUGAUCGUGGCUCAGGACGAACGCUGGCGGCGUGCUUAACACAUGCAAGUCGAACGGAAAGGCCCGCUUGCGGGUGCUCGAGUGGCGAACGGGUGAGUAACACGUGGGUAACCUGCCCCCUGCUUUGGGAUAACUCCGGGAAACCGGGGCUAAUACUGGAUAUUCAUUGCUGGUCGCAUGGCUGGUGGUGGAAAGUUUUUUCGGCUGGGGAUGGGCCCGCGGCCUAUCAGCUUGUUGGUGGGGUGAUGGCCUACCAAGGCUUCGACGGGUAGCCGGCCUGAGAGGGCGAUCGGCCACACUGGGACUGAGACACGGCCCAGACUCCUACGGGAGGCAGCAGUGGGGAAUAUUGCGCAAUGGGCGAAGCCUGACGCAGCACGCCCGCGUGAGGGAUGACGGCCUUUGGGUUGUAAACCUCUUUUCAGCAGGGACGAAUGUAGACGGUACCUGU